rnacentral:rRNA from 1 species
UACGGAGGGGGCUAGCGUUGUUCGGAAUUACUGGGCGUAAAGCGCGCGUAGGCGGACCUGCAAGUCGGGGGUGAAAGCCCGAGGCUCAACCUCGGAACUGCCUUCGAUACUGCGGGUCUCGAGUCCGGGAGAGGUGAGUGGAAUUCCUAGUGUAGAGGUGAAAUUCGUAGAUAUUAGGAAGAACACCAGUGGCGAAGGCGGCUCAGCUGGCCCGGUACUGACGCUGAGGCGCGAAAGCUAGGGGAGCAAACGGG